GGAAAAGAUACAAAAUGAAAUUCAUGGUAGUAGAAAUUCAAAUAGCCAAACUUAUUAACAACUUAGAAAAUAAAAAGUAAAAUCUAGGAAGUAAUAUUCCCAUCUGCCCAAAUAGCAAAAGUUCAAAGUCCGAGGACAUAAAGCUGACGAGACCCUCCAAGGUGAGCACUCUCACACACAGGUUGGGGAAACAUAAGCCUCUAUCACAGAACAGCCUGGGAGAGAGACCCGGCAAUAUCCAGUACCGACAAGCAAGGGUGCAUCCAGGCAUCUGGGGACUUCACAGCAGGGUUCAGGAGCACGGAGAAUUUGCCAGAUUGGCUCAAAAGCCUGCCCGUGUUCAGGAAAGCCCUUUCCACACCCAUCCAAAUGUUGCUUGAGCUCAUUGCCCCUGAGUUCCGCAGCCUUAGUAUAACUGAAAAAGCAGCUGCAUCCUCUAGUGAUUACUCCAGGCAACUAAAGUCUUGGAGUUUCACACACAUAUUUGUUAUGGGAGGCUCUGUGGGAUGGGAUACUCAUUUACUUGGCAGAGUGGGUGGAAAGGAUGCAAUCCUAUUUAAACUUGCAACUCCUGACAGAUGCGGUGGUGCACUCCUGUAAUCCUAGCGACUCGGAAGGCUGAGGCAGGAGGAUCUCAAGUUUAAGGUCAGCCUGGGCAACCUAAUGAGACCAUGUCUCAAAAUAAAAUUUAAAAAUUAAAAAGAGGUGACUCAGAUGUAUCUCAGGGGUAGGGUGCCACUGGGUUCAAUCCCCAGUACCACAAGAGAAGAGAUAUUCGGACCUUUCCUAGUAGUGGUGUUGUAAGAGUCCGUGAGAGCAAAUCAUGGGUGAAGUAGUUUGAAUAUUCUAUGGCUCUUUAAAUGUAUUUAUGUGUAGCAAUUCAUUUUGACUACUCUCAGUAUUUAUGCCUUGAAAUUGCCUAAGGAAAUAUGUCA
rnacentral:lncRNA from 1 species